AACGAACGCUGGCGGCAUGCCUAACACAUGCAAGUCGAACGAGACCUUCGGGUGCUUUGGCGUACGGGUUUGUAACGCGUGGGAACCUUCCCUUAUGUUCGGAAUAACUCUCCGACUGGGGUGCCAAUACGGGAUAGUGUCUUCUGACCAAAGAUUUAUUGCCUUUGGAUGGGCCCGCGUUGGAUUAGAUUGUUGUUAGGGUAAAAGCCUACGAAGGCGACGAUCCAUAGCUUGUCUGAGAGACUGAUCAGCGACACUGGGACUGAGAAACGGCCGAGACUCCUCCGCGAGGCAGGAAUGGGGGAUAUUGGAACAUGGGGUAAGGCCUGAUCGAGCAAUGACGCGUGAGUGAUGAAGGCAUUAGGGAUGUAAAGCUUUAUUACCCGGGAUCAUAAUGACGGUACCGGGAGAAAAAGCCACGGCUAACUCCGUG
rnacentral:rRNA from 1 species